CAUAGAGAGCCAUAGAGAACUCAUAGGGACCCCAUAGGGACCCCAUAGAGAGCCCAUAGGGACGCAUAGAGGACCCAUAGGGACACAUAGAGAGCCCAUAGAGAGCCAUAGAGAGCACAUAGAGAGCCAUAGAGAACCAAUAGGGACCCAUAGAGAGCCAUACAGAGCCAUAGAGACCCAUAGAGACCCCAUAGAGACACGGCACUGCGGGGGGCACAGCGGGUAUGGGGGGGCUGCGGGACCGUUGGGGACAUAGAGACCCCAUAGAGAACCCAUAAAGACCCCAUAGAGAGCACAUAGAGAGCCCAUAGGGACCCAUAGGGACCCAUAGAGAGCCCAUAGAGAGCCAUAGAGAGCCAUAGAGAGCACAUAGAGAACCAAUAGGGACCCAUAGAGAGCCAUAGAGAGCCCAUAGAGACCUCAUAGGGAC
ensembl:lncRNA